UGUGGUGCGACACAUUUAAGCAGCUGACCGUGCCCUGCCGCCCGACCGUGCCGGACCCGCCACUCUGCCCCCUCCCCCCUUCUUCUCCGGUGGCGGCGGAUCUUGCGUUCUCAACGGCGGCGGCGGAGCCCUCGUUCUCAACGGCGGCGGAGCCUUCGUCCUCAAAAAAUGGUUGUGAGGGGAGCCCAUGGGCAUACUGAGAUGGAGCCCCCAGAUUCAACUUCGAAUAG